GGUCUUGUGCUUUUGUGCUAGGAGUGUGCGAAUAUGCUAAACUUUCGACUAACGAAUCGAAUAGUGUCCUAUUCGAUUCGCCCUUCAAAUCGAAUAGCCACUAUUUGUAAACGCGUAAAUUUUUCGAAUACUUCUCGAAUAUUUCAAAACGUCAACUGCGCCCAAAUAAACAUUCUAUUGGAGCAAAAGUGCGGUAAGUUUUCACCGUCGCGGGUAUAGCAUAG
rnacentral:lncRNA from 1 species